rnacentral:rRNA from 1 species
GAUGAACGCUGGCGGCGUGCCUAAUACAUGCAAGUCGAGCGAACAGACGAGAGUGCUUGCACUCUCUGACGUUAGCGGCGGACGGGUGAGUAACACGUGGGUAACCUACCUAUAAGACUGGGAUAACUUCGGGAAACCGGAGCUAAUACCGGAUAAUAUUUAGCUUCGCAUGAAGCAAUAGUGAAAGACGGUUCUGCUGUCACUUAUAGAUGGACCCGCGGUGUAUUAGCUAGUUGGUGAGGUAACGGCUCACCAAGGCAACGAUACAUAGCCGACCUGAGAGGGUGAUCGGCCACACUGGGACUGAGACACGGCCCAGACUCCUACGGGAAGCAGCAGUAGGGAAUCUUCCGCAAUGGACGAAAGUCUGACGGAGCAAUGCCGCGUGAGUGAAGAAGGUUUUCGGAUCGUAAAACUCUGUUGUAAGGGAAGAACAAGUACGUUAGUAACUGAACGUACCUUGACGGUACCUUACCAGAAAGCCACGGCUAACUACGUG